rnacentral:rRNA from 1 species
GCAAGUCGAACUGGAACAGGACGCUUUGAUCUCUUCGGAGUGAACUUGUCGCUGUCGAGUGGCGGACGGGUGAGUAAUGCAUAGGAAUUUGCCUUGGAGUGGGGGAUAGCCCGGAGAAAUCCGGAUUAAUACCGCAUGCGCUCUACGGAGCAAAGUGGGCCUCUGAUUUAAGCUCAUGCUUUGAGAUAAGCCUAUGUCGGAUUAGCUAGUUGGUAGGGUAAAAGCCUACCAAGGCGACGAUCCGUAGCUGGUUUGAGAGGAUGAUC